rnacentral:ribozyme from 1 species
CCCGCCAUUCAACAGCAACAGCAAAUGGAAGCAUUGAAAAAGAAACAAGAAGAACAAGAUGAUGAUGACGCUUCUUCUGUUCUUUCUUCUUCAUCGUCGUCCUCUUCUUCAUCGUCCUCGUCAUCUUCC